CUUGCCAGACGCAGGGCAUGGCCCUGGGGGGAGGCUGCGGCAUUUGCUGGAGGAUGCAGGGGCCAGAGCCAGGGAGACAGAAGUGCCUGCUGCCUCCUUCUCAGGCCAUGGUGCAGCCCCACUUCCCACCCCACAGCGUGGAAGGUCCACUCGGGGGCCGACACCCCAAUUCCCUGCACAGGGUCCAGGACGGUGGAGACGCAGACGAUGCGCAGGUAACUUCAGUUCACCCACAGACGGGCUCCGGACACUGUGUGUGGAUCAAGUCGUUUCUGACAUGCAGGAGCCGAGCUUUCCUGCCACCCCCCUGGCGUGUCCCUGUGGAAAGCAGGACGCCCAGCUGCAGCGGACUGUUUUAAUUUCUGUGAAACUCAGGUUGAAGACGUCAUCUGCUGUGUUGCUGUUGGUUAUGUCCAUGACUUCCACAAUGAUUGACUGGGAGUGGUGAAAGAGAACAUCCUUGUCUUGCUCCUGACCUUAGGAGGAAAGCUUCCAGUUUCUUACCAUGAAGUAUGAUGUUUGCCGAAGUAUUUUUGUAGAUGCUCUUUAUCAAGUUGAAGAAGUUCCCUUCUAUUGCUAAUUUGCUGAGACUUUUUAUCAUGAAUGGGUGUUGGAUUUUUAUCAAAUACUUUUCUGCAUCUACUUUUCCUCUUUAUUGCCGGGAGCCAUGUUACCGACGCCUAUGCAGCCAUCUGACAGGGUCCAGGCUGAGAAGGGCCGAGGGGCGCAGGGACGCCCCUUGGUGAAGAAUGGCCGGCCGACACCCCUGAUAUUUUCUGAAUUAUAUGCAUGCUUUCUAUCAAGGUUAUGACUAUACUUGUUUCUGCUUUUUAUUCUUGAAGAUAUAUAGUUUAGCUUAGCUUUUCAGCUCUUUACCUUACUAACAAAAUGAUAUUUUCUCUGGGCAGUGUGCUCAAGGGACUGUUAGCCCUGCCUCCUAAAAGACAAAGGAAUGCUUUCACCCCCUAAGGGGUGCGGGAAUGUAAAGAUGUUUAACUGCC
rnacentral:lncRNA from 1 species